UACGGAGGGUGCAAGCGUUGCUCGGAAUUAUUGGGCGUAAAGGGUAGGUAGGUGGUCUCAUUUGUCUGGGGUGAAAUCCUUGAGCUUAACUCAAGAAGUGCCCUAGAAACGGUGAGACUAGAGUUCUGGAGAGGGUCGUGGAAUUCCCGGUGUAGCGGUGAAAUGCGUAGAGAUCGGGAGGAACACCAGAGGCGAAGGCGGCGACCUGGACAGAUACUGACACUCAACUACGAAAGCGUGGGGAGCAAACAGG
rnacentral:rRNA from 1 species